rnacentral:misc_RNA from 1 species
GGUAAAAUAGUUAAACAUUGAGUGUCUGGUCUGGCGGGCCCGGCAAGGUUUGUUUACUGUACCUUGCCUGACGGACGGACGUGCCACAACCUGCUGCUGCUGCCCCUGCUGUUUUGUAUCUUGUGGUGUUCUCACCAAUAGAAGUAAGCAGUUAGUGGUACCAACCAUGGCGAUGAUGCAGGAACAAGCAGCGAUGGGGCAGGAGAUGGAGGCUGAGAUGGGAACUUCUGGACCAAUGCUUAUACAGACGCUGGAGCAAAAUGGGAUCUCGGCUACAGACGUUAAAAAGCUUGAAGAGGCCGGUUUUUACACGGUGGAAUCUGUAGCAUUUGCUCCUAAGAAAGCCCUGCUCGGCAUCAAAGGGAUUAGUGAAGCAAAGGCGGACAAAAUUCUAAGUGAAGCUACAAAACUAGUCCCUAUGGGAUUUACCACAGCAACCGAGUUUCAUCAAAAGCGUGCCGAUUUGGUGCAGCUGACUACUGGUUCCAAAGAACUUGACAAAUUGCUUGGAGGUGGAAUAGAGACUGGGUCCAUCACAGAAAUAUUUGGUGAAUUCCGAACAGGUAAAACUCAACUCUGCCAUACCCUUGCUGUCACCUGUCAGCUUCCUCUAGAAAUGGGUGGUGGUGAAGGAAAAUGUCUUUAUAUAGAUACUGAAGGUACAUUCAGACCUGAGCGUUUGGUGGCGACGGCUCAGCGAUACCAGCUGCAGGAAUCUGAUGUUCUUGAUAAUGUGGCUUAUGCGCGGGCUUACAACUCUGACCACCAGACUCAGCUCUUAAUUCAAGCAGCUGCUAUGAUGGCAGAAUCAAGGUAUGCUCUCUGUAUAGUGGACAGUGCCAUGGCUCUCUACAGAACAGACUAUGCAGGAAGAGGAGAACUCUCAGCCAGACAGAUGCAUCUAGCUAGAUUUCUGAGGAUGCUUCUGAGACUAGCAGAUGAGUUUGGUGUGGCUGUGGUGAUUACUAACCAGGUGGUAGCUCAGGUGGAUGGGGCAUCCAUGUUUGCAGCAGACCCCAAGAAGCCUAUAGGCGGCAACAUCAUGGCUCAUGCUUCAACCACGAGGUUGUACUUGAGGAAGGGAAGAGGAGAGACAAGGAUAUGUAAGAUUUAUGAUUCACCUUGCCUCCCUGAAGCUGAAGCCAUGUUUGGAAUCUUUACCUCUGGGGUUGGUGAUGUACAAGACUGAAGUACUACAUACAGUUGUGAAGAUUCUUUCCACAUGCUGCCAAUGUCGGGGCUACAGUGUGGUGAGACUUCAUACAGAUACCUGACCUCAUCUUCAGUCAUUUCAUCUGGUGACAAGACAUGAUCUCCCUUCCUCUGCUCUCACCAAACUACCAAACAGCUGACAAAUACAUCCCACUACCACUUCAAGUGCAACCUUUAAAUAUCCCAAGACUACAAGAAGCCACUGAAAGAUAUCUCAAGAACCUCCGUGGACAAAUCGCUGAUACUAUUACUGCUGCUGUGGAAAAUUCAGUUGUUGCAUUUGUCAGAAGAUCUACGAUUGGUUUUAUGAGAAUGAAUACACCACUUGCCUUAACCAGCUAUUACAUAAGCAGGUUUUUGGACAGCGCAGCAAGUUCACCAAGACACGCCUGAGGGAUGAUUUGUAAGUACAUGGUAGUGAGUAUGUGACGAUCGGAAAGGGACGGAGAGUUCAGGUUAGAGCAGGAGGAAUAGAAGCUUUCGUGUAGAGGAAGGAAAGGAGUUUUAGAGUAGAAAAACUAGAUGUAGGAAACUGUGGCAAGUGUAAGGAUCUUUUAGCAGUGAAGGUAGGGUGCAUAGGAGGUAUGAAAGAUUGGUGGUGAUUGUGGUGUACAUGACUACUGAGAGUGAGAGCACCAGAAGUGUGGUAUUUUGGGGUUAGAAUGUGACGAGUAUGCCACAGAGAGUGAUUGUUAUGGGAAAUAUGAAUGCACAUGUAAGUAUAUUAGACAAGGAAAUAAAUAAGAAUGGCAAGAUGCUCAACGGCUUUAUGAAUGAAAUAGAUGAGAAUCUGAAUGAGACCCUGGCUGAAGGACGAGUGACUUGUGUGCUAGGAACCAGGGGUCUGUGACUGAUUAUAUAUUGAUGAAUAGGAGAGUGCGUGAGAUUGUGGACUUGUAUAAUGAUGAAUAGGAGAGUGCGAGAGAUUGUGGACAUGUGGAUUGAAAGAUCAACAUUGUCUCUCGAACCAUAAUAAUCUGGUGCUGGAGUGCAAGCUGUAUGGAAGAAAGGAAAGGAAUACAAAGAAAUGGUAGAGUAUGUGAUGAUAUAAGUGUGUAGUAUGCCAGAGACAUGAAUGAUAGGAUGCAAGUGGAGCUGAGGGAGUUGGAGAAUGCCAGGAUACAGAAGAAAGGAAGGGAAUGCAUGUUGUUGCUGGGACUAUGUGGAAAGACAACUAGAAGGAUGAUUGCAGCUGUGAAGGAGUUCCUGAAGAGAAUGUUGCAUGCUAGAUUAGUAGUAUUAAAGAUGGUGUCUAGUCUAUAUUUUGCCAUUUUUUCUUUGUCCCCUACAGGAGCUGCUGAUACGAAGGCCUGCCUAUGGAGUAUAUCUCGUAACAUGCUAUUAUUUGGAGAAAACUAUGCUAUGGGAACUUGCUGUCCUGACCAAAAUCCUGCCCUCGUAAUAGACGCUUCAUCAAGAACGGACGCCAGGCACACCUCAUCUAUGCCAAUCAUCCAUCCUACUGCAAAACAUAAAGCAGAAAUUUCAACAAGGAUCAGCAUAAUGUCCAAGAGGGACGGACCUACAAACACAGCAACAAAGAACAGCUGUAGAGGAUUCGUGAAACCAUGCUGCACUACACGCAUCCUCCUAGCAAGGGACACCACACAGAAGGAUUUGUGAACCUGUCCAGUACUACAAGCAUCCUCCGAGCAAGGGACACCACACAUAGGAUUCAUGAACCUGUCCAGUACUAUAAGCAUCCUCCGAGCAAGGGACACCACACACAGAAGAAUUCAUGAACUCGUUCAGUACUAUAAGCAUCCUCCUAGCAAGGGACACCACACAGAAAGAUUUGUGAACCUGUCCAGCACUAUCCUAGCAAGGGACACCACACAGAGAAGUAUUUGUGAACCUGUCCAGCACUAUACUAGCAAGGAACACCACAUAGAAGGAUUUGUGAACCUAUCCAGCACUAUACUAGCAAGGGACACCACACAGAGAAGGAUUUGUGAACCUGUCCAGCACUACAAGCAUCCUCCGAGCAAGGGACACCACACAGAGAAGGAUUCAUGAACCUGUGCAGCACUACAAGCAUCCUUCCUCCUAGGAAUAAAAGAUGUGCCAACCAUCAGCACAUGACUUGCAAAGACAAACAUACUCUCUCUCAUCCACUGGAAGUGCAUCUACAGUGCCCAGCGUUGCAUUAGUCUAGAGCAGAAAGCAAACUGAUGCAAUGGCACAAAUCAGUUUAACCAUCACCCCCUCAAUGCAGACCAGCCCAAGCUCAGCUGUGUAGCAUGAUGUGUCUGGCAUGUGAGAAGAGGAGAUUGAGUAGGGGGUGUGGGGAAGGAGAACCCAGCCAAGCUAUUAGUUAGCAAAGAGGAAAUUUAAAUACAAAAGUACAAAAAAUUUCCCCACUAGCUUGGCUGGAGGAUAUAACUGAUUGGUUCUCCUCCUCACAUGGCAACCAGAGAUACAUGCAAUUCAGCUUGGGCUGGCCAGUGUUGAGGCACUGAACUGAUUUGCACCACUGCAUUUGUUGGUGGUCUGCUCCUGACUAAUGCAAUGGUGGGCACUGUAUGCUGUCACUUCUCCAUCUGAAGAAUACAAUUGCAAAAUACUACAGAAAUAAAAAUUUUCCUUUAUCUUCAUUCAAUCCUACCCUACUCCUAGUUUUUUCUUCUACUUCAUUCAAUCCUAUUCCUAGUUUAUGUACACUGUCCAAAUUAAUAAUGCCAUGAAUCUUGUUGGAUAAGAUGAAUUUAUCCUACUGUUGGAUAUAGCUUAAUUACU